GACGAACGCUGGCGGCGUGCCUAACACAUGCAAGUCUACUCAGCAAUGGGUGGCGAACGGGUGAGUAACGCGUAGAUAAUCUACCCUUUAAUCAUGGAUAACCUAGUGAAAACUGGACUAAUACAGGAUGUGAUCUUAGACCGGCAUCGGUUUGGGAUUAAAGACUACGGGUCGUUAAAGGAUGAGUCUGCGUAUCAUUAGCUAGUUGGCGGGUAACGCCACAAGGCUACGAUGAUUAGCUGGUCUGAGAGGAUGAUCAGCCACACUGGGACUGAGAUACGGCCCAGACACCUACGGGUGGCAG
rnacentral:rRNA from 1 species